UACAGUCUUCCUUAGGAGGCAAUGCUAGGACUGCUAUCAUCUGCACUAUAAGCCCUGCACGAACCCAUGUUGAACAAUCUAGAAACACACUCCUGUUUGCAAGUUGUGCUAAGGAAGUGACAACCAAUGCACAUGUCAAUGUGGUUGUGUCUGAUAAAGCAUUGGUAAAGCAACUGCAAAGGGAAUUAGCUAGAUUGGAGAGUGAGUUGAGAAGUACAGGAUCUAAUUCUGGUACAUCAGAUUCCACAGAGUUACUGAGAGAAAAAGAUCUUCAGAUUGAAAAGGUGAUGUAAUAGGCUCCUUGCAUCACAUCAAGCACCUGUUAACUCCUACUUACCAUCAGCCUGCUUCUUGAUUUUAUGAAAGAACACUUGAAUUAACGAAAUAGAGGUACAUAUCAAUAAUAUUGAAUGCAUGAGGUAUAUCAUAUAUGUGCCUCAUAGAGCCUAGCCAUAAUAAAUAAAUAAAGAAAUAUUAAUUCAUCUUUAUGCUUAUCAGGAAAAGACAUUGUUAAAGCUUCGAAACUUAAUUCCUGCAUUCGGUGCUCUCAAUAUGUUCAUCUUCUGCAAAUUGGGUGAACUAUAAACCUCCCUUUGCAUAUUUUCUUCCUCCCUUUGCAUAUUUUCUUUCUCCAACAAGAACAUAUUUUCAUUUGACACAUAUAUGCAUCCAUGGAAACAUAUCCAUGUUAUGAUAUAUGUUUCAAUGUUGAACCCAAUUCCUGAGCAUCAACCCUAGAAACUUUGUCAACCAGUUCCCUUCCAUGCCCCAGGUAGUCAGGAGGUAAAAUCCUGGAUUCAGAAUGUUGACCAACUAGGAAGCACGUCCAAUUGCCACAGAGGCUACCCAUGGGCUGACCAUAUAUUGACUUUGACAUUAUAUGUGUAACCUCAGCUGGUUGACUGCAAAAUCUUGGAGGGCUUUUUUUUUGUUAAAUUAUUGUGGGCCUUUCUUCAUUUGCUAGAAUUCAACCAGAGCAGGGAAAGAUAGCUUGUACAAGAAGUUAAUUUAACCAUUAUAUGAAGUUGAUUCCACUGGAAACCAGCUCUCUAUCGCAUUCCCAUAUGUCAUAAUGAAACUUCCCCUAGCCUUCAUUGACCUUUAUAUUAAAUUAGAUCUGGGAGCAUCCCCCAUUAUGAAUUAGUCCAAUCUUUUUUUUAUCCUCAAAAAUUUUUGCAUGUAACUUUCAUCGAGUCUCAGUAUCU
rnacentral:misc_RNA from 1 species